GACGAACGCUGGCGGCGUGCUUAACACAUGCAAGUCGAACGGAAAGGCCCUGCCUUUGUGGGGUGCUCGAGUGGCGAACGGGUGAGUAACACGUGAGUAACCUGCCCUUGACUUUGGGAUAACUUCAGGAAACUGGGGCUAAUACCGGAUAGGAGCUCCUGCUGCAUGGUGGGGGUUGGAAAGUUUCGGCGGUUGGGGAUGGACUCGCGGCUUAUCAGCUUGUUGGUGGGGUAGUGGCUUACCAAGGCUUUGACGGGUAGCCGGCCUGAGAGGGUGACCGGCCACAUUGGGACUGAGAUACGGCCCAGAUUCCUACGGGAGGCAGCAGUGGGGAAUAUUGCACAAUGGGCGGAAGCCUGAUGCAGCAACGCCGCGUGCGGGAUGACGGCCUUCGGGUUGUAAACCGCUUUCGCCUGUGACGAAGCGUGAGUGACGGUAAUGGGUAAAGAAGCACCGGCUAACUACGUG
rnacentral:rRNA from 1 species